ACUUCAGCGCCUUCCGUCAGCACCACACCAAGGGCAGCGGUGGCCCCCCUCAGGGCGCACCGGCAGCUGCCCCUCGGGGCACACCUCUCAGCAGGUAGGCACUUUAGCACCUUACAUCAGCACCACACCAAGGGCACAGGUAGCCCCCCCCUCGGGGCACACCUCUCAGCAGGUAGGCACGUCAGCGCCUUACGUCAGCACCACACCAAGGGUAAGCCCGGUCCGGGAGGUAUGCUGAGAGAGACCACACUGACGCUACCUUGAUUACAGUAUAUUGUUAUAAUUGCUCUAAUUAUUAGCGACGAUCGCCCAUCUCUUACUGCGCCUAAUUUGUGAAUUAAAAUUCAUCACAGGUAUGUACGUACAGGGAAAACACACACGUAGUAUAUACGUGAUCCGCGUAGGCGGCGCCGUCUGCUAUUAUCCAGGAUUCCAGGUACCCACCGAGGGGCCUCGAAAUGUAUUUCUGCGCGUAAAGGUGGACUACGGUGAUUACACCAUGCUCACCCCCCGGGGGUGCAGCAGGCCCCCUCAGAAACCCUGGGGGCUGCUCUGUUUCUUCUUCCCCCCCAAGCUCCCCCAUCCCCGUGCGCUGUGGAGGAUUUCCAGAUGUUUCACACCCUCUUUGUUCUUUGACCAAAUUAGGUAAUAUCUGUCCCUGGCAUCCGGUUCGCCAGGUUUUGGUAACCUCCGCAACCCCUGCCCAGGGAAGGGCCGGCAGUGCCUCCUGGAGAGGCGAGCGGAACCCUCUCUUCCAGCCACAGACACACACCGCGGCACCAGCCACCGCUAAAAACCAGGGCUCGCGAACACCCAGCCCGUGAGGACACCGGGCUACGCCACAGAAGGGAGAUCUUCAAGUCCAAGAGCUCGUGGAAUCCAAGUUCUUCAUUCUUCCGACGUCAGAAUUAGGACCCAGUAAAGAGCAGUAUCAGUCCGGGUGCCACGGCAUUUUUCUCGUUUAGUGAACAUCCAAGGAGUAUCCAUUUGCAGGCUUUAUGUUCCUUCUCUAACCCCCAUGGCAAAAAUUAUAACGCCUGAAGUCAUCAGGGACGAAAGCAAAACGAACAGGAGUUCUUCAUAUAUUCUAGUUACCAGAUCUUUGUUAGUUAGAUUUGGGUGCUUCGAUUCAGUGGGUCCUGGGUUACUGUCCAAUAAGUCAAGCUCAGUGAACAUCAUGUUUAUCUCAAAGUUAAAACAGGAGCCCUAACUAAGGAACAAAAAAGGUGAAGAGCACAGGAUGCAGAGAAGGAAUAGAGGGAACUGCGCCAAAUGGGAUGAACAUUUUACCGUACACUCCGUUUUGCCAGGAUCUCUCAUUGGCUGAACCCAACGAGAAGCCGGAAUGCAAGAGAACCCACUGAUGAAGUCUACAGAGGAAGAGACCUGAAGUACAAAAGUCCAGUGGUUCUGCCAGCAACAAAGUCAGUGGAAAGGAAAAUACAGUGGACAAAUUUAGUUUGGAUUGGGUUUUUUCAUUCAUUGCCUUUUACUAAACAAAGACUGGUCAUCUACACUAAUCAGCUUGUUUGGCUCUCUAUGAAUCCAGGAUGCAUAGAGUGUUGCCACCAUCCACCUGAAAUAAAAACACUAAAAGAUGCCACCUGGGUGACUCAGAUGGUUAAGCUGCCUUCAGCUCAGGUCACGAUCCCAGGAUCCCUGGAGCCAGCUUGCUUCUCCCUCUCUCUCCUCUGUCAAAUAAAAUCUUAAAAAAAUAAAAGCUAAAGGAAACGUUGCCACCAGGGGAAGGAAAUUCAUCCGCAUUUUGUUUGGUAUUCCUGUGGGAUUCCUUUCCAAGAUGGUCAACAGACAGCAGACAGGUAGUGACUUUUCAUUAUGUAACUUGGGCCCAAAGUCUCAGUGUUAGGGAUUAUUUUUGUGAUUAUUGCCAAAAUUACAGUUUUUAUAAUUCUUUGUAAAGUAAAAGAAUUUUUGUUUUAAGCAUUUAUUUUUAAUUUAAUUUAAUUUUAUUUUAUUUUUGUUUUAAGCAUUUAAAAAACACACCAAUGACUCGAACACAAGAGAUGUUUAUUAAGGCACCAUUUAUGGAAUGGAAAAACUAGUAUCCAGUUAAAUGUCCAUCAGUAAGGAACAAAUAAACCAUGGUUCAUUCAUAGAGUCAAAUACUAUGUAGUCUUAAAAGAAUUGGGGUGUGUGUGUGGGUGGGUGUGGGUGGGUGUGUAUACAUAAGACAGAAAAUUUCAAAGAGAUAUUUAUGAAUCUUUUACAGGAUUCUAUUUUUGUAUGUAUUUAAAUAUGUUUGUAUACUACUAAAGUGGUCUGGAAGGUUUCACUGUAAUCCAUCACGAGCAGUUACUUUGCGGGGAGAAUGGUAUUUUGUUUGAUAUUUAAAAUUUUGUACACUAAACUUUCAAGCAUGAGAAGACAUCAUUAUAGACUAGCCCAUAAAUUCUGGGAGGCCAGAAGCCUUGUCUAAUGUAAUGCCACGAUAUACGCAUGUUUAUUUUAGUGCCUGGCACAGUGUAGAUCAAUGAAUAUUUCUUGAACGGAAUAUGGUAACUUUUUAUAAGCAUUUAUAAAGUACUGCUUGAAUUUUUUGAAUAAUGAACAUGACACAAUAAAGACAUGUUUUUAAAGUAAAGAAUUUACUGUUGAGAGCA